rnacentral:rRNA from 1 species
AUUGAACGCUGGCGGCAUGCCUUACACAUGCAAGUCGAACGGUAACAGGUCUUCGGAUGCUGACGAGUGGCGAACGGGUGAGUAAUACAUCGGAACGUGCCUAGUAGUGGGGGAUAACUACUCGAAAGAGUGGCUAAUACCGCAUGAGAUCUACGGAUGAAAGCAGGGGAUCGCAAGACCUUGUGCUACUAGAGCGGCCGAUGGCAGAUUAGGUAGUUGGUGGGAUAAAAGCUUACCAAGCCGACGAUCUGUAGCUGGUCUGAGAGGACGAUCAGCCCCACUGGGACUGAGACACGGCCCAGACUCCUACGGGAAGCAGCAGUGGGGAAUUUUGGACAGUGGGCGCAAGCCUGAUCCAGCAAUGCCGCGUGCAGGAUGAAGGCCUUCGGGUUGUAAACUGCUUUUGUACGGAACGAAAAGCCCUGGGUUAAUACCCUGGGGUCAUGACGGUACCGUAGGAAUAAGCACCGGCUAACUACGUGCCAGCCGCCGCCGUAA